rnacentral:rRNA from 1 species
AGUCAAUAGAUACCCGGGUAGUCCACGCCGUAAACGAUGUCGACUUGGAGGUUGUGCCCUUGAGGCGUGGCUUCCGGAGCUAAACGCGUUAAGUCGACCGCCUGGGGAGUACGGCCGCAAGGUUAAAACUCAAAUGAAUUGACGGGGGCCCGCACAAGCGGUGGAGCAUGUGGUUUAAUUCGAUGCAACGCGAAGAACCUUACCUACUCUUGACAUCCAGAGAACUUAGCAGAGAUGCUUUGGUGCCUUCGGGAACUCUGAGACAGGUGCUGCAUGGCUGUCGUCAGCUCGUGUUGUGAAAUGUUGGGUUAAGUCCCGCAACGAGCGCAACCCUUAUCCUUUGUUGCCAGCGGUUAGGCCGGGAACUCAAAGGAGACUGCCAGUGAUAAACUGGAGGAAGGUGGGGAUGACGUCAAGUCAUCAUGGCCCUUACGAGUAGGGCUACACACGUGCUACAAUGGCGCAUACAAACGAGAAGCGACCUCGCGAGAGCAAGCGGACCUCAUAAA